GCGUUUAUAAAUAAUGGUUAAAGACGUGAAAGUUUGUUAGUAUAUGGCAACCAUUUCAUGGACUAUGAAGCUCGUAGUAAAACAGUGACGUCAUCAAGACGGAAGUGACUGUCGAGAGUUCCACCAUGUUUAUUGUGUGCUGUUCGAGUUUCUCCUAGAAUUAUCGGACAUUUUGAAGCCAAGCAUCGUCCAAAAGGCGACAAGUUGCAACAAUUGGAAAAGGAUGUUUAUGGAGGCAAAAAUAUUAAACUGCACUCAUCAUAAACCAGCAUGGAGAGUGAUGAGCUUGUUUCACGUCGCAUCCCAACCAUCAUAGUGCAGCAGGGUAUAUUACGAGAAGCAAGCUACGACACAGGAGACUUACAACGAACCAGAAGAAAACUGAGAGGACCAUACAACAGCAGCUACCUACUUUUCUCUCUCUCUGCAACUGACUUUAUUUGCUAAUAUGUACAGAGUAUCAUGUGCGUAGUGCAAGGUGGUGCUAACGAGCUAAGUUGUGCCAAUAUUUUAAGCACUGCGGUUAAAAUUCUGAUACUGUAUUCAAGUGGUGUAAACAGAGCAUUAUUCACAAUGGAUUCUCUAUGUUAUCAGGACAAAUGUCGACCGCCCACUUGCCCAGAUAACACAGUUCCCACCCGCUCUACAUCCCCAGUUGACGAUACCCCAAUCAACUGAUUGUAUUUGUUCAUACAAUACCUGGUUAAUCGUGGACCGAGGAUCAUACCAUGAUUAGACGAGAAAAGAGACAGAAAGAAGAGGAAAGAUGAAGAAAACGGAAAGAAUUAAGGGUCCAAGGACAGAAAGAGAACAAUGAAAUUUGCUGGUAACAGGAAGCAGACCGCUACAGUGCCUUUCUGCAAAUGCGACCAUCCCUCGUACAGUAAGGAACCACAGGAAACCCCAGCAAGUCUCUUCUGACACCCUCAGCUACUACAUUGCCACCAGAGGGCAGCACCCAGUCAGCACCCACUCCACAGAAAACAAUCAUCUAGAAACCUCUACAUUUCACAUCUUUCAGGAAUGGCGAUGUUGAUGGAACGAUUAUUCAGUCACAGUGGAUCUUCCCAAGUUACUAGGAGAGAAACAAUCCAGAUGAGAAUGUGUCUUGUCUUGGAGACAAAAAAAGAUCCUCGAGCACACACUAGGCUUCUGAUUAAGUGUCGACACAGAUUUGGAUACCCUUGAUGAACACAUCAAGAGCCGUUGCAAUGAGAAUCUACAUCUUGGGGAGCUGCUAACCAGCAAACAGUUAGAGGGAGAUUCUUUUUCAGAGUAUGUAAAAUUCAAGAACACUGCAGAGGAAUUAGAUUUCUGUCAUGGUAUACCUUCAGUUUGUGAGCAAACCCAGAUGAAGAUGAUCAUCCUCAUGGGAUCAUGGGAGUCGGGGAUGAAGAAUUAACUUUAAAAACUCCUAGCCCUUGACAACAAUGCCUCUCUACAGGAUAUUAUCAGUACAUCACACCUAUGAGGCCACCAGGAAGGCCACUUCCGCAAUUCAUGCUUCGCCCUCUCAAACUACAGGAAGCAGAAGAAACAUGGAAAGGGUGCCACCUCUAACACCACAACAAGAGUUCCAUGGCAGUCGUGCAACCGCAUGUAUGGAUCCACAGAGAAGUGCCCAGCAGCAAAUAGCACAUGCAGCAACUGUGCCCACAACGGGCAUUGGGACAAGGCAGAGAGGUGCCCCAUCAGACAAGUCCAGUGCCACCACUUCAACUGAUAGCGCAUUACAAAAAGUGCUGUCAAAAGAAGACAACGGAUGCCAGAUGCCAGAGUGGCACUUCCAGUGACAAGUCUACACCAACUUCUCCAGGCAAGACCCCAGCUGUCGUCGUCGGAUGGGAAGACCCUCUUCUAACAAGACACCACAGCCAAUCCCCUUUACCCUCUCGUAUGGUGACCACAUUUAGGAUUCAGAUGUUGCCAGACACAGGUACAGACCUCUCUGUUGUGGGCCCUCAGAAUCUUGACCUUCUGCACAUUUCGGAUUCCCAAAGAUGGCAUUUCAGCAGGCCCACAGCAAAGUAGCAGCAAACAAGGACUUCCCUACAUGGAUGAUCUUGGAUCUUUGUUCAUUUAAGGGGUUAAUGAAUCAAUUGGCCAACUUUGCACCUCUGAUAACUAAUGCAGCUCAGCCUCUCGGACCCCUCAUGAGCACCAAGUGUGCAUUUGUAUGGUCCUCGGAUCAAGACAGAGCAUUACACCAAGUCAAGAGUGACCCAGCUGGGUCACCAGUCCUUGCCCCUCUUGAUCUAACCACUCCCAGUUAUCCUACAGGCCAAUGGUUCUAGACUCAACAGAGUUAUCCUACAGACCAAUGGUUCUAGACUCAACAGACUAAGCUAUCCCCUUCUGUAGGACCACAGCAAACAUAUGACUCCACUUAAUACAGUGUGGCUCGCGUUCCCUUGCAGACAUUGAGACAUGCUACUCCACAAUUGAGUUGCGAGAUGUUACCCAUAACUUGGGCUAUGUCUAAGUGCAAACUGUACCUGAUAGGCCUUCAACAUUUUACACUGAAGACGACCAUCACCCACUGGUGCCAAUUCUCAACCAUUACACUCUAGAGAGAACAUCGCUGUACCUGUUCACAGCUGUGUGGCAUGCUGGCAAGCAGCUUACCAUACCCAACACCCUGUCAUGUGCCUGUCAGCCAGCUCACACCACAGAACGAAACCAACUGGGUUGAGUCUGGGCCAUACAUCAGUACCAUUGCCAUAACUCAUGGAGCAGCCCAAGAGGAUGAUGCCUCACUCCAGGAAGCUGACAGGAUUAUUCAGGAUCUUGGUGCUUCAGCAAAGGAGGGCCCGUUGUGGAGGCUAACGGGAUUAUUCACGUUCUUCAUGCUUCAGUGAGGGAGGACCUGUUGUGGAAGCUGACAGGAUUGUUUAAGUUCUUCGUGCUUCAGCGAGGGAGGACCUGUCGUAGAGGCUGACAGGAUUAUUCAGGUUCUUCGUGCCUCAGUGAGGGAGGACCCGUCAUGGAGGCUGACAGGAUUAAGGAUUAUUCAGGGUCUUCGUGCUUCAGUGAGGGAGGACCUGUCAUGGAGGCUGACAGGAUUAUUCAGGAUCUUCAUGCUUUAGCGAGGGAGGACCCAUCAUGGAGGCUGACAAGAUUAUUCAGGAUCCAUGACAGUCACAGAGGAAUAGAAGCCAAAGAGCGUAGGGCACAACAGACUUUUCAAUGGCUAGGAAUUGACUCAGACAUUGCAAGUACUGUCCAAGCUUGUGAGCAUUGCCAGUUUGUAAAAGUCGGCCUCCAACAGGAACUUCUUCAGAACGACUACUUCUCUACUAGGCCCUUUGAACUGUGUCAGCAGACUGCAGGGAAGUCAUCCCUCAUCAUGACCAACAGGUUUUGUCUUUUUCUGCUGGCCUGUGGUUGCAGUCCUGAAGUUGGUGUCCCACUUCACCUCAGGACUGACGGUGGACCUAAAUUCACCAGCCAUGAAUUCAGGGAUUUCAUGGAGUGAUGGGGAGCACACCAUCUUGUUACUUGCCCACAUUACCUGCAGUCCAAUGGCCAUACCGAGGCCACUGUGAAGCAUCUUAUACUGAAGACAGCACCCUCCAGCAAAAUAGACUGUGAAGACGUUGACAAUGGCCUCUAGAGUUACAGAACACUCCAAACUUCACAGGCGCUCCUCUGCAUAAGUCCUAUAUAACCACCCACUUUGCUUCUGUGUGCCUGCUCAUUCUCAUUCUCCCAGAAAUUGCUCCAAAAAGCCAAGGAAUGCAAUCACCGUGCUGCUGCCAGAGCUGAACAUGUACAGAGGUUGUACGAUCAACAUGGAUGCCCCCUACCCAGGAUAGAUAUAGAACAGUCAAUCAGGAUCCAGAAUCUGACUUCUCAAUGUUGGAACAAGAUCAGGGUUGUCACAAGCAAUGGCAGGUCAAGGGACUAUGACAAAUGUCUCCCCAGCAGUCAAGUACUAUAUUAGAGGAACCAGCACUUCCCCCCUCCAAGUUCAGUUGCUCUCACACUUUGUCCUUGCUGCCUUGUAACCUAAUAAAGAACCUACAUUUUA